UGCAAAGACAAUCAGAGAGAGAGAGAGAGAGAGAGAGAGAGAGAGAGAGAGAAAUUACCUGCAACUGUGACUCAAUUCUAAUGGCCAGCACCAUACCCUUGCCCAUGAUGGGCGCUCGUCGUUGGCUGCUGCUGCUGCUGCUGUUGCUGUUGCUGCUGCUGCUGCUGCUGCUGUAUCUGCUGC